AGGUUCCACAAUGGUACAGGCAGCAUCACGCUGCACAAUGGUUUCCAGGCAGUGAAAGAGGGUGAUUCAGCAAGCCACUCUUCUUCUAUUUUCUUUAACCUCCCCUUCACUUUUUAUUUUUAUGGGGGUGGGUGGUGCUUGCUAUAUGCUUACCUUUUUCUUUUCUUUUUUCAUUUUUACAAAUUUCCUUUUUUGUCCUCACCCCUCAAUUCCUAGGGGCUUGAGUGAGUUUAAGAUUGGGUUUUCUUGGAAAUCACCUGUCCAUCGUUAAUUUUAAACAAUCUCCAUAUCUCCAAAGAAUCUCUUCCAUGUUAGUCUGGAAUGUGGUUAAUGAAAAACAAGUAGGGAGGAUUUCUGGGGCAAACACUGCCGGAUCAGGAUCGUAGUUCUCAGGCACGGAAUGGCUAGUGUGAGAAACACCAACGGCAGGCCCAUCUCAGAUCUUCACUAUGGCAACUUAUGCAAGAAACUGUUGAAUUAGACCCGUUUCCUAUAGAUGAGAAACCAUACAAGCUGUGGUAUUUAUGAGCCUCCAUUUCUUAUACUACUGCAGUGAACCAACAUUGGAUGUGAAAAUUGCCUUUUGUCAGGGAUUCGAUAAACAAGUGGAUGUGUCAUAUAUUGCCAAACAUUACAACAUGAGCAAAAGCAAAGUUGACAACCAGUUCUACAGUGUGGAAGUGGGAGACUCAACCUUCACAGUUCUCAAGCGCUACCAGAAUCUAAAGCCUAUUGGCUCUGGGGCUCAGGGCAUAGUUUGGUCUCAAGAAAGCACCAACCUGUGAGCCAAAGGAGCCAUCUUAAUGUCUUUAGGUCAUUAAUUUUAGACAUAGCAUAUUCUUUACUACAAGGCUACUUUGAGAGUCACUGUGUCACUGUUGGGCUUCUGGCAUAAAUAAAGUUAACAUAAUAUACUCAAUAAACUCUUUCACUGCUUAGCUAACUCCAACAUCAUCCAGACACUGAUGCUCAUCCAAGUUGCCAUGUAGAUUUAUAAGAAGACUCUUGUUAAGAUAAAAUAACUAAACAUAAAUAAUACUUUAAAUUUUGUUGCCAUGAAAUGGCCAAAGGUAGGAAUGUAGCAGUAACCCCGGAAGAGCAGUCCUUGGUUCUGACUCUUUUUCUUGGGGGAGUGACAUGUAAAAGCCUCUUCAACCAGAAGCACAGUGCCCUUGAGCAGCAAGGGAGCAUAUCACUUAUAUCUAAAAGGGAAUAUUUUGUCAAUGAAAGUACAUGCUAAAAUAUAUUAUAUUGAUGGUCGUAAAAAUAAUGUUAUUAGAAAUUGUUUUAAACAAACAUUUUUGAAAAUGAAAAUAAAAAUACAGUUAAUAUUUUAUAACUUAUAUGAAUUGCCUAAUUUUUUUAAUGAGAAGAAUAAUUACUGUGGUACAUCUCAUGUAUAUUAAUCUGCUGAAAUUUCUGAUAUUUUUUUGAAGUCAACUUUUUAAUAUGAAUUUAUUAUUCUUAAGUUGUAAUGAAACUUCUGGGAAUCUUCAAAAUUGCUUGUUAUGGUUAAUAAAUUUGAAAUAUUGACACAUUUAAUAUAUAUAACAAUAUUUUUAUUUGAAAAAUAUUCUCAAAAGGGGCUUAGGUAUCUGCUAAGAACAAAUUUUGCUAAAUUGAAAAUAUUCUCUUUAUUAAUUGAAAAUAUUCUUAAUUCUAAUGUAUUUUUGUAUUGUAAUGUAAAAGUAUUUGAGUCCAAGGUUUUUCACAGACACUGAGCUUUCCCCCCUUCAUUUAGUGUUCCAUUAUCCAAGAAAUAAUUUCAUAAUACCACACUUGCCAAAUAGAUUGCCUAAAUUUAUGGCUUUUUUAAUGGUUUGCCAAAUUUAGAUGCAGAAAAAUUAUAGGCCUUUAAAAUCAUAUUUCAAUCCUGCACAGAAUAUAAAUAUUUGGAAAUUAGAAAUUACACCAGGUGCCAUAAAGAAUAUAAAUAGAUCAUACAAUUCAGAACUUUAUCUAAAGACUGUUCUCACAAAUUAAGAUAUUCUAAAGUAUGAUUAUGGAAUUUCAAAAUCAAAUCUUAUCCUCUCUUUGAGAAUGCAUUAUUUCAUUUGAUUUGUUCAGUUAAUUUCUUGCUUUAGUCCAUUUCAGCACAUUCUUGUGGGCUUCAAGUUGCAAGUUUUGUUUAUAAUAAUAGCUAUUCCUUAAAAGUUUCAAGAGCUGAAUACUGGGAUGCUCCAUUUGUGAAAUACUAUGAUUACACAUUUCCAAGUAAUUUUGCAAAAAAAAAGCACCCAAAGUUUAGAGGACUUAUGUAUAAAAAGUUAUUUUUCAAUAGUAAGUAUGAGAAAUGCCAAGAAAAUAUGCCGAUUGCUAUGUUAAAGUAUUUUCAUUUUUUUAAUU
rnacentral:sRNA from 1 species